rnacentral:rRNA from 1 species
ACGGGUGAGUAACACGUGGUCAACCUUCCCGAUAGUGGGGGAUAACUAGCCGAAAGGCUAGCUAAUACCGCAUACGAUCUUCGAGCGGCAUCGCAUGAAGAUGAAAGGAGCAAUCCGCUUUCGGACGGGACCGCGUCCCAUUAGCUAGAUGGUGGGGUAAUGGCCUACCAUGGCGACGAUGGGUAGCUGGUUUGAGAGAGCGACCAGCCACACUGGGACUGAGAAACGGCCCAGACUCCUACGGGAGGCAGCAGUGAGGAAUUUUCCGCAAUGGGCGAAAGCCUGACGGAGCGACGCCGCGUGUGGGAAGAAGGCCUUCGGGUCGUAAACCACUGUCGAAGGGGACGAUAAUGACGGUACCCUUGGAGGAAGCCCCGGCUAACUACGUGCCAGCAGCCGCGGUAAGACGUAGGGGGCAAGCGUUGUUCGGAAUUAUUGGGCGUAAAGCGCUCGUAGGCGGGACUGGAAGUCCGUGUUGAAAGACCUCGGCUCAACUGAGGGACCGGCUCGGAUACUCUAGUUCUUGAAGCAAUCAGAGGGUGAUGGAAUUCCCGGUGUAGCGGUGAAAUGCGUAGA